ensembl:tRNA
UCCUCGGUAGUAUAGUGGUGAGUAUCCGCGUCUGUCACAUGCGAGACCCUGGUUCAAUUCCCGGCCGGGGAG